GCAAGUCGAGCGCUCACUUCGGUGGGAGCGGCAGACGGGUGAGUAACGCGUGGGAACAUACCUAAUAGUACGGAAUAACAUUUGGAAACGAAUGCUAAUACCGUAUACGCCCUUAGGGGGAAAGAUUUAUCGCUAUUAGAUUGGCCCGCGUUGGAUUAGUUAGUUGGUGGGGUAAUGGCCUACCAAGACGACGAUCUAUAGCUGGUCUGAGAGGAUGAUC
rnacentral:rRNA from 1 species